rnacentral:lncRNA from 1 species
GUCUGGAACAUCAUUAUAUAUAACCUUUGAUAUAUUUUUGAUAAAAUAUAGCAAGAAUUGUACACACUAGAGCCCUUAUACCUCAUGGAUAAACAGACCGGGUAUUUCUCUGUCCCUUGAAACCUGUCGCAUGGGGGAUGUUAGUGUACAGUUCCCCAUUUUUCAUUCUGUUUAAUGGAAAAAAUCCUGUUAACAUUUUGC